rnacentral:rRNA from 1 species
UGGGGAAUUUUGGACAAUGGGCGCAAGCCUGAUCCAGCCAUGCCGCGUGCGGGAAGAAGGCCUUCGGGUUGUAAACCGCUUUUGUCAGGGAAGAAAUCUUCUGAGUUAGUACCUCGGGAGGAUGACGGUACCUGAAGAAUAAGCACCGGCUAACUACGUGCCAGCAGCCGCGGUAAUACGUAGGGUGCAAGCGUUAAUCGGAAUUACUGGGCGUAAAGCGUGCGCAGGCGGUUUUGUAAGACAGAGGUGAAAUCCCCGGGCUCAACCUGGGAACUGCCUUUGUGACUGCAAGGCUUGAGUGCGGCAGAGGGGGGAUGGAAUUCCGCGUGUAGCAGUGAAAUGCGUAGAUAUGCGGAGGAAACACCGAUGGCGAAGGCAAUCCCCUGGGCCUGCACUGACGCUCAUGCACGAAAGCGUGGGGAGCAAACAGGAUUAGAUACCCUGGUAGUCCACGCCCUAAAACGAUGUCAACUGGUUGUUGGGAAGGUUCCUUCUCAGUAACGUAGCUAACGCGUGAAAGUUGACCGCCUGGGGAGUACGGCCGCAAGGUUGAAAACUUAAAGGAAUUGACGGGGUCAUAGCUGUUUCCUG